GCCCCGGUGGCGAAAUUGGUAGACGCACAGGACUUAAAAUCCUGGGACCCUUACCGGUCGUGCCAGUUCAAGUCUGGCCCGGGGCACCA
rnacentral:tRNA from 1 species